UCCGGGUUGGGUCCCGGCGCGCCUGUAGAGGGAGACCGAGCGAGCCAAUCCGGGGCGGCGGGGAGGGGCUGGGUCUAGAGCGCCGAGCUGUCAUCCGCGUUCCUUGUCAGCUCACGAGUGAUCCGGGAGAGAGAUUGGGCUAUCCUAUUAUUUGAAGCAGAAAACAAGCCGUCCUGUCACUGACAGCCUCGGAAACUGUGCCUCUGUGUUGAGGUCAGAAGAGGGUAUCAAAUUCCCUGGAACUGGAGAUGGUUGUUAUCAACAGGUGGGUGCUCAGAACAAGAGCAACACGUGCCCUUAACCUCUGCCAUCUCUCCAGCCCUAUAAUAAGUUUCUGUGAGUUUGAGGCCACCUUGGCCUCUAUGGUGAGUCCCAGG